AGAGUUUGAUCCUGGCUCAGGAUGAACGCUAGCGAUAGGCUUAACACAUGCAAGUCAAGGGGCAUAGAGGGUAUCAAUACCUGUCGGCGACCGGGGCACGGGUGAGUAAAGGGUAUGUAACCUGCCCGCAACAGAGGGAUAACCCGGCGAAAGUUGGACUAAUACCUCAUAAAACAGGGGUUCCGCAUGGGGCUAUUUGUUAAAGAUUUAUUGGUUGCGGAUGGGCAUGCGUACCAUUAGGUAGUUGGUGAGGUAACGGCUCACCAAGCCAUCGAUGGUUAGGGGUUCUGAGAGGAAGGUCCCCCACAUUGGAACUGAGACACGGUCCAAACUCCUACGGGAGGCAGCAGUGAGGAAUAUUGGUCAAUGGGCGUGAGCCUGAACCAGCCAAGUAGCGUGCAGGAUGACGGCCCUAUGGGUUGUAAACUGCUUUUAUACGGGGAUAAAAGGGUGAACGUGUUCUCCUUUGCAGGUACCGUAUGAAUAAGGACCGGCUAAUUCCGUGCCAGCCGCCGUGGUAAUAC
rnacentral:rRNA from 1 species